rnacentral:rRNA from 1 species
CCUACGGGUGGCAGCAGUGAGGAAUAUUGGUCAAUGGACGCAAGUCUGAACCAGCCAUGCCGCGUGCAGGAUGACGGCUCUAUGAGUUGUAAACUGCUUUUGUACGAGGGUAAACCCCGAUACGUGUAUCGGGUUGAAAGUAUCGUACGAAUAAGGAUCGGCUAACUCCGUGCCAGCAGCCGCGGUAAUACGGAGGAUCCGAGCGUUAUCCGGAUUUAUUGGGGUUAAAGGGUGCGUAGGCGGUUUGAUAAGUUAGAGGUGAAAUCUCGGGGCUCAACCCCGAAACUGCCUCUAAUACUGUUGGACUAGAGAAUAGUUGCGGUAGGCGGAAUGUAUGGUGUAGCGGUGAAAUGCUUAGAGAUCAUACAGAACACCGAUUGCGAAGGCAGCUUACCAAACUAUAUCUGACGUUGAGGCACGAAAGCGUGGGGAGCAAACAGGAUUAGAUACCCCGGUAGUC